UACGUAGGGGGCUAGCGUUGUCCGGAAUCAUUGGGCGUAAAGAGCGUGUAGGCGGCCCGGUAAGUCCGCUGUAAAAGUCAAAGGCUCAACCUUUGAAUGUCAGUGGAUACUGCCGGGCUAGAGUCCGGAAGAGGCGAGUGGAACUCCUGGUGUAGCGGUGGAAUGCGCAGAUAUCAGGAAGAACACCAACGGCGAAGGCAGCUCGCUGGGCAGUAACUGACGCUGAGGAGCGAAAGCGUGGGGAGCGAACAGG
rnacentral:rRNA from 1 species